UACGUAGGGUGCGAGCGUUGUCCGGAAUUACUGGGCGUAAAGCGCGCGUAGGCGGUUUGGAAAGUCAGAUGUGAAAGCCCCGGGCUCAACUUGGGAACUGCAUUUGAUACUGCCAGACUAGAGUACAGAAGAGGUGACUGGAAUUCCCAGUGUAGCGGUGGAAUGCGCAGAUAUCAGGAGGAACACCGGUGGCGAAAGCGGCUUCCUGGACCAGUACUGACGUUCAUGUGCGAAAGCGUGGGGAGCAAACAGG
rnacentral:rRNA from 1 species